AGUCUCAGUUCGGAUUGAAGGCUGAAAUUCGCCUUCAUGAAGCCGGAAUUGCUAGUAAUGGCAGGUCAGCAUACUGCCGUGAAUACGUUCCCGGGCCUUGUACACACCGCCCGUCACACCAUGAGAGUUUGUAACACCCAAAGCCGGUGGGGUAACCUUUUGGAGCCAGCCGUCUAAGGUGGGACAGAUGAUUAGGGUGAAGUCGUAACAAGGUAUC
rnacentral:rRNA from 1 species